rnacentral:rRNA from 1 species
AGUAACACGUGGGUAACCUGCCUUGUAGAGGGGGAUAGCCCUCCGAAAGGAGGAUUAAUACCGCAUAAUGUCAUGCUGACGCAUGUUAGCGUGACCAAAGGAGCAAUCCGCUACAAGAUGGACCCGCGGCGCAUUAGCUGGUUGGUGAGGUAACGGCCCACCAAGGCAACGAUGCGUAGCCGGCCUGAGAGGGUGACCGGCCACAUUGGAACUGAGACACGGUCCAG